AGCAGCCGCGGUAAUUCCAGCUCCAAUAGCGUAUAUUAAAGUUGUUGCAGUUAAAAAGCUCGUAGUUGAAUUUCGGGAUUGGCGCAUCGGUCGUGCCUCACGGGGUAUGAACUGGUGCAGUCAAUUUCUCACCUUCUGGAGAACCGCGAUGUCCUUAAUUGGAUGCCGUGGGGAACCAGGACCUUUACUUUGAAAAGAUUAGAGUGUUUAAAGCAGGCAUUUUUGCUUGAAUACAUUAGCAUGGAAUAAUAAAAUAGGACGGCAUGGUUCUAUUUUGUUGGUUUCUAGGACCACCGUAAUGAUUAAUAGGGAUAGUUGGGGGCAUUAGUAUUCAAUUGUCAGAGGUGAAAUUCUUGGAUUUAUUGAAGACUAACUACUGCGAAAGCAUUUGCCAAGGAUGUUUUCAUUAAUCAAGAACGAAAGUUAGGGGAUCGAAGACGAUCAGAUACCGUCGUAGUCUUAACCAUAAACUAUGCCGACUA
rnacentral:misc_RNA from 1 species